CUUGACCGAUCCGAGCCACAGCGGACGGUCCGCCUCCCGCUCCCGCCCGUAGGUGGCGAGCAGCGCCUGCGCCUC
rnacentral:antisense_RNA from 1 species